rnacentral:ncRNA from 1 species
AGGCGCCGAAGGUAAGACCGGCGAUUGGGGCUAAGUCGUAACAAGGUAGCCGUACCGGAAGGUGCGGCUGGAUCACCUCCUUU